rnacentral:rRNA from 1 species
GGGGAAUAUUGGACAAUGGGGGGAACCCUGAUCCAGCCAUGCCGCGUGUGAAGAAGGCCUUAUGGUUGUAAAGCACUUUAAGCGAGGAGGAGGCUACUCUAGUUAAUACCUAGGGAUAGUGGACGUUACUCGCAGAAUAAGCACCGGCUAACUCUGUGCCAGCAGCCGCGGUAAUACAGAGGGUGCGAGCGUUAAUCGGAUUUACUGGGCGUAAAGCGUGCGUAGGCGGCUUAUUAAGUCGGAUGUGAAAUCCCCGAGCUUAACUUGGGAAUUGCAUUCGAUACUGGUGAGCUAGAGUAUGGGAGAGGAUGGUAGAAUUCCAGGUGUAGCGGUGAAAUGCGUAGAGAUCUGGAGGAAUACCGAUGGCGAAGGCAGCCAUCUGGCCUAAUACUGACGCUGAGGUACGAAAGCAUGGGGAGCAAAC